rnacentral:ncRNA from 1 species
UGAACGGGGCGCCGAUAUGGCUGAGAUGGGCAUGAUUGUGUCCAGACCCUUAUAACUUGAUCCGGGUAAUGCCGGCGUAAGGAAGGAGAAU